rnacentral:misc_RNA from 1 species
GUGAAGAACGUAGCGAAAUGCGAUAAGUAGUGUGAAUUGCAGAAGUACCGUGAAUCAUCGAAUCUUUGAACGCAAAUUGCACUCUCUGGUAUUCCGGGGAGUAUGCCUGUUUGAGGGUCGCUUAACAAACCAUCGAUUUCGUUGCUUUUUUUUUAAAGUGAUGUUUAUCGGAUUUGAGCCGUCUUUUUUUUUAUAUUUAAGUGGCUUAAAAUUGAUUUUUUUGGUACGAUCGAAGCGUAUUUUUAUGAUCAAUUUUUGGUUAAAGAAACGCACACGUACCGUUAUUUAUAUGAUGUAAUACGUUUGACUAUUGGAUUUAGUUCAUUCGUAUACGAUAUCUUUCAAUAUUUGACCUCAAAUCAGGUAAGAACACCCGCUGAACUUAAGCAUAUCAAUAAGCGGAGGA